UGGGGAAUAUUGCGCAAUGGGCGGAAGCCUGACGCAGCCACGCCGCGUGAGCGAUGAAGGCCUUCGGGUCGUAAAGCUCUGUGGGGAGAGAAGAACCAAGCCUGUGAAGAGCGGGCCCUGACGGUAUCUCCUUAGCAAGCACCGGCUAACUCCGUGCCAGCAGCCGCGGUAAUACGGAGGGUGCAAACGUUGCUCGGAAUCAUUGGGCGUAAAGCGCACGUAGGCGGUUUCGCAAGUUGGAUGUGAAAGCCCUGGGCUCAACCUAGGAAGUGCAUCCAAAACUGCGAGACUUGAGUCCCAGAGGGGGUCGGAGAAUUCCCGGUGUAGAGGUGAAAUUCGUAGAUAUCGGGAGGAAUACCAGUGGCGAAGGCGCCGACCUGGAGGGGUACUGACGCUGAGGUGCGAAAGCGUGGGGAGCAAACAGG
rnacentral:rRNA from 1 species